AAAGCGUGCGCAGGCGGUUAUGUAAGACAGAUGUGAAAUCCCCGGGCUCAACCUGGGAACUGCAUUUGUGACUGCAUGGCUAGAGUACGGUAGAGGGGGAUGGAAUUCCGCGUGUAGCAGUGAAAUGCGUAGAUAUGCGGAGGAACACCGAUGGCGAAGGCAAUCCCCUGGACCUGUACUGACGCUCAUGCACGAAAGCGUGGGGAGCAAACAGGAUUAGAUACCCAUGU
rnacentral:rRNA from 1 species